AUUGAACGCUGGCGGCAGGCCUAACACAUGCAAGUCGAACGAGUGGCGUACGGGUGAGUAAUGUCUGGGAAACUUCCUGAUGGAAGGGGAUAAAUACUGGAAACGGGAGCUUAUACCGCAUACCAUCAGAUGUGCCAAAAUGGGAUUAGCUGGUUGGUGAGGUAACGGCUCACCAAGGCGCCGAUCCCUAGCUGGUCUGAGAGGAUGACGAGCCAAACUGGAACUGAGACACGGUACAGACUCCUACGGGAGGCAGCAGUGGGGAAUAUUGCACAAUGGGCGAAAGCCUGACGCAGCCAUGCCGCGUGUAUGAAGAAGGCCUUCGGGUCGUAAAGCACUUUCAUCGGGGAGGCGUUACCCGCAGAAAAAGCACCGGCUAACUCCGUGCCAGCAGCCGCGGUAAUUC
rnacentral:rRNA from 1 species